rnacentral:lncRNA from 13 species
CUCCUGGUAGAGCAGGCCACGCCGACCUGCACUACGUACUCAACAGCAUCCUCAACCUCCUGCUCUCCACCAGAAAUGUGCAGAGGUUGAUAAAAGUGAUAGGAAGGCUUCUCCAAAUGCAAGUGGACCAGAGAGACAAUGGAGCAAGCUUUCACUUGUCCCUACUCCAUCAGGAGCAGCCCCCAUCCACACAUCACCGUGCUGGAAAACCGCCC